rnacentral:rRNA from 1 species
UACGGAGGAUCCAAGCGUUAUCCGGAUUCAUUGGGCGUAAAGGGUGCGCAGGCGGCGGGGCAAGUCGGACGUGAAAUCCCGGGGCUUAACCCCGGAACUGCGUUCGAUACUGCCUUGCUAGAGGACUGGAGAGGAGACUGGAAUUCCUGGUGUAGCAGUGAAAUGCGUAGAUAUCAGGAGGAACACCUGUGGCGAAAGCGGCUCACUGGACCAUUACUGACGCUGAUGCACGAAAGCUAGGGGAGCAAACAGG